rnacentral:lncRNA from 1 species
AGGGCCGUAACUACAUGGAGGCAAAUGAGGCAAAUGCCUCAUGUUAGAAAUUUGAAAAAAAAAGAAAAAAAAAUUGAAACAAAAGCUUGUCUUCAUAUCAAAUUGUUUUCACGGCGAGUGUCUUGCAAGAAGCAAGUUCUCUUCACUCUCUGAUGUCGCCCCUGCAUGUUUUUCGUGAUCUAUGUUUCUAAUUUACUUUUAGUUUUCAGU